UACGGGGGGUGCAAGCGUUGUUCGGAAUUACUGGGCGUAAAGGGCUCGUAGGCGGCCAACUAAGUCUAACGUGAAAUCCCUCGGCUUAACCGGGGAACUGCGUCUGAUACUGGAUGGCUUGAGUUUGGGAGAGGGAUGCGGAAUUCCAGGUGUAGCGGUGAAAUGCGUAGAUAUCUGGAGGAACACCGGUGGCGAAGGCGGCAUCCUGGACCAACACUGACGCUGAGGAGCGAAAGCCAGGGGAGCAAACGGG
rnacentral:rRNA from 1 species